GUGCUCACUUCGGCAGCACCUAUACUAAAUUGGAAUGAUACAGAGAAGAUUAGCAUGGUUCUUGUGCAAGGAUGACAUGCAAAUUCAUGAAACAUUCCAUAUUUUU
rnacentral:snRNA from 1 species